ACACAUGCAGUCGAGCGAUGAUGCCCAGCUUGCUGGGUGGAUUAGUGGCGAACGGGUGAGUAACACGUGAGUAACCUGCCCCUGACUCUGGGAUAAGCGUUGGAAACGACGUCUAAUACUGGAUAUGAUCACUGGCCGCAUGGUCUGGUGGUGGAAAGAUUUUUUGGUUGGGGAUGGACUCGCGGCCUAUCAGCUUGUUGGUGAGGUAAUGGCUCACCAAGGCGACGACGGGUAGCCGGCCUGAGAGGGUGACCGGCCACACUGGGACUGAGACACGGCCCAGACUCCUACGGGAGGCAGCAGUGGGGAAUAUUGCACAAUGGGCGAAAGCCUGAUGCAGCAACGCCGCGUGAGGGAUGACGGCCUUCGGGUUGUAAACCUCUUUUAGUAGGGAAGAAGCGAAAGUGACGGUACCUGCAGAAAAAGCACCGGCUAACUACGUGCCAGCAGCCGCGGUAAUACGUAGGGUGCAAGCGUUGUCCGGAAUUAUUGGGCGUAAAGAGCUCGUAGGCGGUUUGUCGCGUCUGCUGUGAAAUCCCGAGGCUCAACCUCGGGCUUGCAGUGCGUAC
rnacentral:rRNA from 1 species